AUUGUCGCCAAAGGCUACCUCACUCAACCUCUGAAGGAAGAUUGAUGAAGGUGUUUUCAGAGUUUGGUGUAGUUAAUCUCGCUUCCUAUAGAUGAAAAAUCAGGAAAGUCUUUAGGAUUUGCAUUUAUUUGGUUUGUAAAGGAAGAGUCUGCGCAAUUGGCUGUCCAAGAGAUGAAUGGAAAGGUGUGCAUAACUUAAUAGAGUUUCCAACUGUAAGAGAUAACCUAUCUCAUCCAUACUAAAAUGAUUUUGACCUGAUAGCUGGAUUUUUGUUGCAGUUUUUUGAUGGUAGAUUUAUUUAUGUUACUAUUGCAAAGCCUGGAUCAUUAAAAAAUUCGAAGAGCACGACAGCCUACAAAUUUUAAUCAUAUGAGCAGUUGCUAAUAGCAUCUUUUCAUAACAAGCAAUUUUAUAUAAUGUAGUCACUAACGUUCAAUGCUACACAUUCUACUCCAUAGCCUCAGAAUUGAGAAACCCCUUGAUUUGAAAAGUUAGUAAAAUUUAUUGCAAAAAGAAUCACUUAUGUGUGGGUAUACAUAGAGCCUUUCUAUAACCCAAAAAUAUUCUUGGAAAGUUGCUGAUCAAGAACAAGAAGCAGUUCAAGCCACCAGUGGAAGGGGUCCAGGGUUUUACUUUCUAUCUUCCAGUACCUGCUUUGAUCACUGUCAUGACCACAUUCAAGGCUGCAGAUGAUCAGCCUGUGGAGCUGCAAGCGUGGGAUCAACAUGAAAGAAGAUCCACAUGUUCAAGCCAAGGUCUUCUCCUCCUCCUCAAGUGAGUUUAUUCAUUUAAGAGACUAUUUUUUACUAUAUCAAAAGACAGUUUUCUAUUAAGAAAAAAGUUGUUCAAAGAUGUCCCUAAUGUCAUGUCUUAUUGGUGUUGGUGUUGAAUCUUCCAAUUUAGUUGUGUUAAGUAUGUCCUGUACAUCUCUCAAUUACAACUAGUCGCAGAAAGAAAUUGAGAUUGUCCAUUUAUC